AUUGAACGCUGGCGGCAGGCCUAACACAUGCAAGUCGAGCGAGCGUCGGACGGGUGCGUAAUGUAUGGGGACUGCCCGAUAGAGGGGGAUAACUACUGGAAACGGUGGCUAAUACCGCAUACUAUCGGAUAACCCAUAUGGGAUUAGCUAGUAGGUGGGGUAAAGGCUCACCUAGGCGACGAUCUCUAGCUGGUCUGAGAGGAUGAUCAGCCAAACUGGGACGGAGACAAGGCCCAGACUCCUACGGAGGAAGCAGUGGGGAAUAGUGAACAAUGGGCGCAAGCCUGAUGAAGCCAUGCCGAGUGUAUGAAGAAGGCCGUAGGGUUGUAAAGUACUUUCAGCGGGGAGGCGUUACCCGAAGAAGAAGCACCGGCUAACUCCGUGCCAGCAGCCGCGGUAAUAC
rnacentral:rRNA from 1 species